GAUAACUGCUCCCAGCACUUCUGAUGCCCCUCCACCUUCUGGGCUGUAACCGCUGAUGCUGUGGCAGUGUCCCGGGAUGCUUCGGAAGUGAUGGAUUGAGGCACACACGUAAUGACCUGUUCCAGUCAGAAACUGAGACAGCCUCAAAAGGAGUUGCCAACCAGAUCUAUAGAGUGAGACAUGUCGAACAGCUCAGUCCUAAGGCAUUUGCCAUGAAGACUGUGUGAGCCAGUACUCUCACUUAGCAGCUACCUCAUUUCUGGGAGAUGUUUCAUUUCAUCAGACAGCUUUCUCCACAACUGAACAAGCACAAACAAAAUGGUAGGUGAUGAAGGACAGUUGUGCAUUUCAGCAGAGGAGGAAUUCACUUAGGGGAUAUUCGAGGACUGUUCCUGUUUUAACUCCUAACUUACCAUGUCCUUAUCUUGUUUUCUUCCUCUGUGUAAUGGGUUAAUGCUUCAUUCCUGUAUUUUGGAAACUUUCUGUAGUCAGAGGGUGUCUGGGGGGCAGCUGUGUGACAAUUUACUACCAUAAUGAAACAGGUAGGCUGGUAACCACAUCCCAUCACUUAUCCAGCAAAUUGUGUCUGCAUUAGUCCAGCCUCCUUGUAAUUGACCCUGAGCUGACAGGUAUGGGAGGAAGACCACUUAAGCCUUCCAAAUCCAUCACUGCCUUUCUCGUGAGAUAACACAGAUCCCUGUGAUAGACUCAUCACGCAGGGAGGAGUGACGUUAAGUCCUGAGAAAAUGGCAGUGAGGGCAGAUACCAUCAUGACACAUAACCACUCUUCAGAGCUAUCCUGGAGGAAAUAAGUUUGUUAAAAUCUUGGGAUGUGGGAUUGUUUUCAGGGAUGAAAGCAUGCAAACAUGCAGAUAUAGCAGCAUUGCCCACCAAUACGCUCACACAGGCUUGUCUAUCUUCAGCUUCUGUGCCUGCAGUCAUAUGAAAGCUGUACACCUGAAGUUAUAGAAAUCCACAUGCUUUGAUUGCACCCUGAAUAAAAUAAGCCUUGCAGCUCAGAUCAAUAUAUUGAACUUUAACUCUGCCUAUAAAACAGAAAAUCCAGAUGUCAAGUCUAUUUUUAAACUGUAGCAACAAAAGUGAGUUUGAUGUGCUUGAUAAAGCAAGUUUUCAGUGUGUGCCGCGCUACCUGAGGCCUCACAGAAGGGUUUGCAGGGUGAAGGAGCUGGCUGGGCUAGUUGUGUAACUCGGUGGAUGUUUCAGCCCGGGCAGGAGCUGCUGGUAGGGUGACCGGAGCAAAGAAUCAUUGCUUUAUGCACAGGCAGUACCAAGCAUUGACUGCUCUGUACGUUUGUCAUUAUUUUGGGCUCAUUCUUCAUCCUAAAUUAGGUUG